GCUUCCUACGAAAACAAAAACAAGCAUCCAUGGCCAAGAGUAAAACACCAUGGGGAAUUUAUAAUAGUAACAAUGUAGCUGAACCUCCAGCACUAUCACGACCUCCUAGUAACAAAGCUUUUUCAUGCAGUGGGCCUUCAUCAGUGUUGUUGAUUGAAUGACUGACUGCUAUCCAGAUAGUUCUGCUGCUGUGGUUCAGACCAGUUGUUUAGAAGAAAGAAUGCUUCAGACUCACAGGAUGACAUGUUAAGAGAUACUAAAACCAGGCCUUACCUUCCCGAGUUGCUGCUCUGUGAGAGAAAAUGCGUCCAUGAAGGCCUGGGCAAUCACAGAUAAACAGCCGUCUAUGUGUGGUGUCUUCUUAAUGUCAAAGACAAACUGAGGGUUCUUCAGGAUGUUUACCCAGAAGCGAAGAGGAAGGCUGUUCCGAGAGAGAAAUCUCUUUUCAAGUAUAGCCCUUCGUAGGAGGCGGAUGCUCUGUUUAUCACAGUUUGCAUAUGGACGUUUUUGCCCUUGUUAUUGAAGUAUCCAAGUCUGCUUUGCCAAAUAUACCAAGCAACAGAUGGCAGCACCACUCAGAACAAGAAAGGGUUAAACUGACAAGCGCCACUGAAGGGAGGACUAGAACGGGAGAAAUUCAAAGGUGGCCAUUGACGAGAAUUUUCUCCCGGUAGUUCUAGAUUAUAGCAGGUGACGGUUGCCCAUGAAAACGUUUCAUCACGUGUCUGGAACCUGACCUCUUCUCACCCCCUCUAAGUGCCACACCCUGGCCUAAGCCGCCUGCAUUAUUAGCCCCCAGCUCUCAGUUGUCCCACUGCCACUGUCCCACUGUCCCAGUUGUCCCCCAGCUCUCAGUUGUCAGCCUCAGUUGUCCCACAACUAUCAGCAAUCUUAACACAGAGUCAGAUCAGGUCUCUCCUCUGCUCAGAACCCUCUAUGCUCUCCAUCCCCCUCGGGAUAAAGCCCCUGCGUGAUCUGGGCCUGGGUCCUCAUCUGUUACUCUUCACCUUUUUCAUUCCAACCCACCGUGGGCCUCUUGGCUGGUCUUCAUGCAUCCCAGGCAAGGCUGCACCUCAGGACUUCUGCCCAUCUUCCGGAAACUGCCUUCAGCCAGACAGUCUCAAGGUGUAUGCCCUCACCUCUUUCAAGACCUGACUCAAAUGUCAUCAUCUCCUUGAGGCCUUCUCUGACCACUGACCUGUUACUCUCUAUCCUUCUUUUCUGCUUUGUCCACUGUACUAACCUUCUAAUAUACUACUAAUUUACCUAUUUAUCAUCUCUUCCACCCAUUAGAAUGCAAGCUCUCUGAGAACAGGGAUUUUUGUUCAGUUUACUGUUACAUCUCCAGCACCUAACAGUGCUUGGCAUAUAGUAGGUACUCAGAUACUUGAAUAUGAACUUGGGAAUCAUUCAGAGUCCUUCCAUUAUCUCAACUCUGGCCUAGCAAAUUACCUCCAUCGUAAGGAUGCUGGGCCUCUCCUCAGCUCUGCUGUCCUGGCUACUGCCCCUGCUCAGAUGCCACCCUCUUCACAGUGAAAAGGGGAGCCUACAGCAGCAGCACCUGGGAUUAAGAGGCUAGAGCACAGGAUGGGAGGGAGCCAGGGUAGAUGCUGGGACAGACCCGGAUUCAAUGGGAGAAGAUGAGACCUAGAGCUCUGGCACUUCAGCUUGUAAUACUUCCUUAAAAUGGUCUGUGGGCCCUCAGUGUUCGGGAGGGCUUGCGAUUGUGCCGGAAAGUUCUAUCAUGUCUUAACACCGAGUCUUACUCAGUUCAUACACAGAACAUUUCAAAUAGAGGUAAUGAGCUGUUUCUUUACUGAGGAGAAAUUUAGAACAAACCUGGAUGCCUUACCAGGCAACCAGGUAAAACGUUAGAAAACAAAACAGACCUUUGGCUAAUUCUCAUGAUAUCUGAGUACUGCACUUGCUCAAAUAAAAGCAGAAAUGUCUAUGUAGAAUCAGAAUUCAGACAGUUUGGUAACUGCAAAGGGAUUAAGUAUUCUCUAAUGGAAAAUUAUAUAAUAAAACCACAAAAUACUAAUUUCUCAUCUUUUGCCGGUCAGGUUAACAUUCCUUACAAGGUCUUUUUCAUGCGUUAAAGAUAAUAAGGUUUGUUUAUGUUAUCCUAAAGAAUAGGCUCACAGCAUAGGAAGGGUUUUGUUCUUGUUAAAAAUAGUAAGAGAGGAAGAAUCUGCUUUGACAUGAUAGCUUACCAAGCCAAAAGAUUCUGAUCUAGGGAUAAUGAAUCCUUCUGUAACUAUCCAUGCCCUCCUUUUGGUUAAGAUUCUGUCCCAGAUUCUUGAAAACAGUCAGUAAUCACAUACUGUUUGUUCCCACCUGUUUGUUUUCCAAAUAUGUACGACAUCAGGAUCUGUGAUUUUUUUGUUUUCAGCCUGGGCAUCCAAAAAGUCAAAAAAGUAUUUUAUAGCAAAUGGGGCUCUGCUGUUGGGUAAACUCCAAAUGCUUCUAAAAAGUUUUUCAAGCACAGAAUGAAUUGCCACCUGAAAGAGAGCAUCAGACGUGGGAGAUUUAAAAAAUAGGGUAGCAGUUUUGCAUACAAUAGAAAAUGAAAUGCCAGUUCAGAGAAAAUGAUGUACAAAACAGAAAAAAAACCUGAAGAGAAAAUAUGUAAAAUUAUCAAAUGAGGCCAACACUCCAUGUGGGUCAAGCAUCCUGAAAAUCCAUGCCCAGGUUUAGGUUUAGUCAACAAUGAGGGUAUCGUAGAAGUCUCCAGCAGUUGAAAUGUCAGUUGUAGGGCUACGUGCAUAGAUCAAGAAGCCAUGGAUGUUUAGCUUUUAUUAGUUAUGUUCAGCCUAGAAAAACUCAAUGUUGCUCAGUUCCCAGAAUUGUUCCUGUUGCAUGUAUUUCCAUCAGAGGUUUUUAUUCUCUACUUUCCAAAGCAUCUGAGUGUUUUACAAAAGACAAAUAGGCAGAUCUCUGUGGGACAGAUGAGAAAAUCAAGAGGCUCUGGCUGUCCUUUAGCCACUAAACAAAUUUACUGAGCUCUCAGCAUACCCUCUGCUAUAAUCUGAAGAAGCAUGCCCAUCAGGAGACCAGGGCCAGGUGUAGAUAAUAGCAUUUAUAUUGCUAGUCAUUUCAGGGGGAAAAAAAAGGAUCACCACAGACUUCUGUUAAUCUCACUAAAAGCCAGAUAAAGUAAAAUUUGCUUCUGAUUUGGUAUUCCAACAGCUUUCACAUCUGACACUUUUACAUGUGAACAGAAUUCUUAACUUUAAAGUGGAAGAAUAAAAAAAGAUUUAGUAGGUUUGCCGUCACUGACCCCACCCUUCAUUUUAUUUGCAAUUCAAAGGGAGUUUUAUUGCUCCUCUAUAAGAACAAAUACGAAUAAUUACACCAUGAACCUAAAAAACAACAAUAGUGAAAUGGUGGGUAAAGGACUGGGAACAAUAUUAAAUCCCUGAUUGAAGAUACUACAGCCAAAAUUUGUAAAGUGCCGUUAUCUUUGCAGUUUCUAAAAAGAAGAGGAGGGUAGGAAG